AAUAAUAUAACAAAACAGGGUAUUGCCUCCCGUUACGAACGGGAGGCUGAAAAGGGAAGUCCGGUGAAAAUCCGGCGCGGUCCCGCCACUGUGAUGGGGAUUUGCCUUUGACAAAAUGCCACUGUUCCAGCAAGUGUUGGGAUGGGAAGGCGUAAGGCAGAAAUGAACCAGAGCCAGGAGACCUGCCUUGUUUUGAUCUUCAAA
rnacentral:ncRNA from 1 species